AAUGAACGCUGGCGGCAGGCCUAACACAUGCAAGUCGAACGGUAACAGGAUAGCUUGCUAUCGCUGACGAGUGGCGGACGGGUGAGUAAUGCCUGGGAACCUGCCCUUUAGUUGGGGACAACAUAUGGAAACGUAUGCUAAUACCGAAUGUGCUCUACGGAGUAAAGCGGGGGAUCUUUGGACCUCGUGCUAAAGGAUGGGCCCAGGUUAGAUUAGCUAGUUGGUGAGGUAAAGGCUCACCAAGGCGACGAUCUAUAGCUGGUUUGAGAGGAUGAUCAGCCACACUGGGACUGAGACACGGCCCAGACUCCUACGGGAGGCAGCAGUGGGGAAUAUUGCACAAUGGAGGCAACUCUGAUGCAGCCACGCCGCGUGUGUGAAGAAGGCCCGAGGGUUGUAAAGCACUUUCAAUUGUGAGGAAGAUAAGUAAGUUAAUACCUUGCUUGUUUGACGUUAACUUUAGAAGAAGCACCGGCUAACUCUGUGCCAGCAGCCGCGGUAAUACAGAGGGUGCAAGCGUUAUUCGGAAUUACUGGGCGUAAAGCGCGCGUAGGCGGAUAGUUAAGUCAGAUGUGAAAGCCCUGGGCUCAACCUAGGAAUUGCAUUUGAUACUGGCUGUCUAGAGUUUAGCAGAGGCUAGCGGAAUUUCUGGUGUAGCAGUGAAAUGCGUAGAUAUCAGAAGGAACAUCAGUUGCGAAGGCGGCUGGCUGGGCUAAAACUGACGCUGANGUGCGAAAGCGUGGGUAGCGAACGGGAUUAGAUACCCCGGUAGUCCACGCCGUAAACGAUGUCAACUAGCUGUCGGUCUUAUUAAAAAGAUUGGUAGCGCAGCUAACGCGAUAAGUUGACCGCCUGGGGAGUACGGUCGCAAGAUUA
rnacentral:rRNA from 1 species